CUAAUUGACAAAAACAAAUGUAGACAGGUUCUUGAAAGUGAUGUUUAUUACUAAUGAAAAUAGUACAGUUGUAUACAUAGGAAAACAUCCUUAUUUAUUCAUAAAGACUUUAAAAUGUUUAUUUCUAAUUAUCCAAUAAUAAGACUAGAACAUUUCAAUAAAAUAGUACAGUUAACAUGAAUUUAUUUGAUUCAAACCCUGGAUAAAAUGUCAUUAUAAACAAGGUGAAAAAGAAAAGUCCUUCAUUAUCCAUACUCGAUAUUAAACAUAUAUUACUGUAUGUACACUAUUGCUUAAGUAUCAUCACAUAGUCCUGAUAUAUGAAAAAUUAUACCUGUAUUCUCUGAUACCACAAUUAUUUUUUCUAUAUAUAAUCUUAAUCUUUAAAGAAGUAAUUAAACAUGAGAAUAAAAACACCAGGAUGAGGAAUCAUUUAACCUAGGCUGUAGCUAUAACUGUGUGGGCUGAGAGCAGUGUUUUUAACCAGUCUUACUAUCCUGAGGGGAGUGGUUUAACCUGUCUCUUAUUAACUCAUAGCAGUAAUGUAAGGUUUUACAAAAUGCAUGACUCAAGGAAAUUUCCAGGCAAUUCUUUACAUCAUGGUACCCUCCCAUAUUUCCACCUUCCGCCAGGAUAUCCUUUGUGGAAUACAAUGCAAUGGAUUUGAGAAUAGUGACCGUCACAUCAUUUUUCUGCAUUUAUUACACAAUUGGGAGAAUAAGCUAGGAUCUUGACUCACUGCAGCUGGAUUGUAAAUGAGGAAGGCUGGCCCCACCCAUUCCUACUGGGAAUUGUUAGAAAUGUUUUAGAAAAAAAUAAAACAAAACAACCCGUUUGGGGUUUGUGUUUUUGUUUUUUUGCUAAAACAUCUCAAUUUAAUAGUUAUUCUACUUCAUUAGCUCUUUCAUUAUGGAAUAAAUAUGUUGUCUUCUCUUCCGUUGCAAAAUGAAAAUUCAAUUCAGAGACAGAAAGAUGUCAAAGUACCCAUUGCUGAAAACAGAAAUAACAUAAAGCUACCAAAAAAAUCAUGAAAUGGAAGUCAAACUUAUAAAACAAGCAUACAAAUGAAUAAUUAGUUCAGGUAUCAUACUUCAGCCAACCUACUUUUAGAGCCUACAAAGAAUAUUUGUGCAGUUUCCAGCUUUUUGUUAGAGGUAAUAUUAAGUCAGAGUUGUUCAAACACAUUACAAUUUAGUGUGGCAAAAAAGAGAGAAAAGAAUAAAAAAGAGAAAGUGGGGAGGAGCCAACCCAUGGUGACAGAUAAUGCAGAAGAAGAAAACAGAAGGUGAGAAUAAAAUCAGGUAAAGCCUGCACUUGUUUUAUUAUAUAAAUUAAAUGGGGCCAGGUGCGGUGGCUCAUGCCUGUAAUCCCAGCACUUUGGGAGGCCAAGGCAGGUGGAUCACCUGAGGUCAGGAGUUUGAGACCAGGCUGGCCAACAUGGUGACGGUGAAACCCCAUCUCUACUAAAAAUAUAAAAAUUAGCUGGGCAUGGUGGUGGGUGUCUGUAACCCCAGCUACUCAGGAAGCUGAAGCACGAGAAUCGCUUGAACCCAGGAGGCAGAGGUUGCCAGGAGCUGAGAUCGCCCCAUUGCACUCCAGCCUGGGUGACAGAGCGAGACUCCAUCUCAAAUAAUAAUAGUGAUAAAAAUGGGACUUCAGGCCACAUAAACGUGAACAAACACCCUUAAACCAUUGCAAUGGUGAAAAUGGAGCCCUAUUUAUCAAAUAAAUUCCCCUUUAUCCAUAACCCAUAAAAAAGGAUAGUGUAUAUAAUUCAAUUAUAAAGGCUACAUCUGUAAAACACCACAGUAUCUUACAACCUUUUAUAAUAACAUUUUUAAAAUGGUUAUUUACCAUGCAUUUUAUUGCUAACUGCAUUUUAGUAUUUUCACAUAAGGUGAUAGUCUUGUUGAAUAUUAUAUUGCUAGGUUAAGAAGAACGUUCUAAUACUCAGAAAAUUUCAUUCCUCAAUUGUGCAGUGUAAAUGACAGUUCAGCCUAAGACUUUUAAAUGAUGACAUGCCAUUAAAUCACCUUCGAGGAAGGUCUUUUAGAAAGAAGCUCUUUAGGGGUAGUUUUUUCCAUCAAACUAAUAGCUCCUUUAGUGCUUUGCUUUGUACAUGAGUGGAUGGAUCUUUGCUGGGCAAACUGUGUUCUUCAACCUUUCAACAGUGGUUCAGCUAUAGCAAAGGCAGGACAAAAGUUGUAUUCCUCAACUGAGGCCUCCUGUUCUUUCCCUGAUAGUUGAGGGGCUCCUUUACUCUUCCAUUUCAUUGGUGUGGAGCAGACAUUCAUGAAGAGCUAAGUGUUUUGCUCUUGCAUGAAAAGGUCACGCAAAAGGAAAUCAGAGAUGGUGACGUGUGUCAGAAUUCCCAAAUUCCCACUUCACUGCUUAGUUUGUGGAAAACAACAACCCUCCUCUGGCUCAGUUCGUGCUUCUCCUAAGUGUUCUGCAUGGUGACCUGCCCUAGAGGGAUUUGUGUCCAUCUGGAAUUCUUCCAGCAAGCACACAUUCACACAUACACACACACAACCUGUUAUCCAUACAUACUUUGCAAAAUACCUGGCCAUCUUCAAGGCUUUCACUAGCUUUACUGUGGCAUGCACUGAGCCCAGAUAUUUAGUUUCCGGUGUCCUCAUAAUGAGCAGAAUUGGCAGUCAUCAAGUUGAGAAAAAAAAAAGUGAACCAAGUAUUUUAUCUUAUGGUCAGUUUAUACUGGUUAUUUAUAUCUGGUCAGAAAUAAAUCAAAAUGUUCAGAAUUGGUUUUGGCAAGCAUGAAGACAUCUAGCAUAAAGUAUCUGCAUUAAUAAUAACCUAUUGCAUAUGCAAUUUAAUAUCAUGAUGAUGAUGAUUUGGCCUCCUCCUCUCCCCCUCCAAAGCAACCCAUUCAAAAAAAACACUAGGGGGAAAGAGGAAAAUUUCCAUUUUCUGUCAAAAUUUAUAUAAGGUAUGGACUUCCUAUCUGUUCAGUUUUUAAAAUAUUUUAAUUGUAAUAAAAGCUUUGCCCUGUUUUGUAUAAGCAGGAGUUAAUUUAGACAGGAGGUAUUACACAAAGGAGAAGCAAUGAAAAUGAGCUCAUCUAUAUUAUGUGAGGUAGUUAAGUGCUGUUUUCCAAAUUAAUACACCAGGAACUAGAGGAGAGACAGGAUUUGCCCAAGACAUCUUUAGAUUUCAGAAGCAAUCAGGGAACCUCAGUCCAGCAAUCAAGAAACAAAAUAUAUUCUCAGCACUGGGGUCUUGACCCGACACUCACUCCCUCCCUGCCCAUGUGAUUAAAUUUGUCUUUAGAUUAAUGGGAAUCUUCUAAACUUUAUAUAUAUAUAUAUAUAUAUAUAUAUAUAUAUAUAUAUAUAUAUAUAUAUAUAUGCAUUCAUCCUGAAAACUAAGAAAAAAAGGAUAUUAACAUAGUUAACAUAACAAUAACAUGGUCUUGAUUAAUAUGCUCAGGAAAUGCAAGACACUGAUAGAAGCAUAAAAAUACAACCCGAAUUCUAUCCUGCAGCAAAAAAGUUUGCUUUUUCUUUAGCAGUUUGAUCAAAAAAAAGAAAGAAUUUUAUUUAGAUGAAUGCCUGAUUAUAAACUAUCCAUUAAGACUAUUUCAAAGGUUUCCCCUUCUACCCAACAAUAACAAAUAUGCUCCAAAAUAUUCCCUUACUAAGCCAGACUUCUCCAUGGAAGAGUCUCACCUUAUUUUCCUAUUGAAAAACCCGAGGCACAGUUCUUAGGAGACACCCCCAGUGAUUCAGAAGCAGACAGCAACUGCAGCCCUAAAUCCUAGGUCCAGCUUUUUCUUAUAGAAUACUUUCCAGAGUUUACGUAGUUUUCAAUUUAUUUAAACACAGCAUUCAGUCUUUAUAGAAAUAAAAAUGGUAACAUCUCUUACUA
rnacentral:lncRNA from 1 species